rnacentral:lncRNA from 1 species
CAGGGUAGUCUUUGUGAGGAGUCACAGGACUGUUUGAGUUGAGCACGAUUCGGAUGAUCUAAUCAGGGUUGACAGUUUAACCCUGAGUCAUCCUAAACACAGAGGUCAAAAAGAUGAAUUAUACAGUAACCAUAUUCACGUAGGUUCUGAGUGUUACGAUUGUGACCAUUCGACCUAUCCGAUCGUCGGGUACCAUUGCUAGAUGGUCACUUCGAUUAGUACAGGAAUUGAUUCCUGUGCUACCGGCUUAGGUUCGAACCUGCGGGGUCACACACAUUAGAGGUUC